UUAUAUAAUUAUUAUUAAAUUCCUUUUCAGUCAAUUGUUGCCACAUGCUGCAUCAAUUGUACGACUCAUUGUGAAGUACUUCAAGAAGUGUGUCUCUGCAGAACUGAGAGUAAAAGUCUACGCAGUUGCUAAGUCAUUGAUGACGUCUUUGGGUGUUGGAAUGGCUGCAUCUCUUUCUCGAGAUGUGAUUGACAAUGUACUAGGUGAUUUGAACCCUGUAAAUAAUGAGAGUUCUGAUCCAUCUAAUGUGAAUCCAAAGGACACGCAAAGAGAUUACCGCAACACCAUAAUAAGAGAAAACGCCCUUCAGUUCCCACUUCCAUGAAAGGCAGCACGAGAGGAAUGAACCAGAGGACAUUACCAGCAGCUGUAGCUAUACCUCAGUCCACUUGAGGAUAGCUGCACUUGAGGCUUUGAAGACUCUUCUUACAUCGGCUGGUGCUUUGAGAUCUGAAGAAGGAUGGCGUGCAAAAGUUGAACAUCUUUUAAUAACAACUGCAACAUCUUCUCUUCAAUGGCCACGAGCCUCGACGACACCUUUUCCAAGCCAAUGAAUCUAUUGAGGUUUGGGUGGAUUAUCAGUUGGCGGCAUUUCAUGCACUACUGGCUUCUUUUUUGUCUGCUGUCCAUGUACGCCCACUGGCUUUGGCUCAAGGUCUCGAGCUCUUUCGUAAAGGUAAACAAGAAAAUGGAACCAAACUUGGUGAGUUUUGUGCCAUGCUCUCUUAGCCAUGGAGGUUCUAAUACAUCCGAGGGUCCUUCCCCUCUCGGAUUUCUUGCCAUUGCGCUUGAGCUCUCCUGAACCACAAGCUGCCUUUAAAUUCCAGGAAGAUCUGUACUUCAACAGUAACGAUUCUAGAAAUUGUUGAAGGUCGGCCCGCAAAGCAUGGAGCAGAUGGCCUCCGAGGCUCUAAUUAGUGAUGAUGUGGUAGAUAACAAUGAAAUGACGUAUAGCAC